rnacentral:rRNA from 2 species
UGGGGAAUCUUGCACAAUGGGCGAAAGCCUGAUGCAGCGACGCCGCGUGCGGGAAGAAGGCCCUCGGGUUGUAAACCGCUUUCAGCAGGGACGAGGCGCAAGUGACGGUACCUGCAGAAGAAGCCCCGGCUAACUACGUGCCAGCAGCCGCGGUAAUACGUAGGGGGCGAGCGUUAUCCGGAUUCAUUGGGCGUAAAGCGCGCGUAGGCGGCCAGUUAGGUCGGGAGUCAAAUCCGGGGGCUCAACCCCCGUCCGCUCCCGAUACCGGCUGGCUUGAGUCUGGUAGGGGAAGGUGGAAUUCCAAGUGUAGCAGUGGAAUGCGCAGAUAUUUGGAAGAACACCGGUGGCGAAGGCGGCUCUCUGGACUGUAACUGACGCUGAGGCACGAAAGCGUGGGGAGCAAACAGG